CAAGGAAGACCCCUUUCUUAGGGGUUAAUUUAUGAUUGGGUACUGUUUCUUCGUUCUCUAUAAACUAUGGAUUUUUUGUAUCUAUCUAACUUAUUCUUAUGCAAUUUCUUGUUAAAUAAGUUUUUUUUUCUUUUAAAAAAAAUCUUAGAAAAAAGAAAGAAGAUUCUAAAAAGGUUAAAGAAGUUGAAGUUAAUAUUUAAUUAAUUAAAAGUAAAUGUAAAUUACAGGGGCGGA
rnacentral:tRNA from 2 species